AACGAACGCUGGCGGCAGGCUUAACACAUGCAAGUCGAGCGCAUCCUUCGGGGUGAGCGGCGGACGGGUUAGUAACGCGUGGGAACGUGCCCUCUUCUACGGAACAGCCUCGGGAAACUGAGAUUAAUACCGUAUACGUCCCGUAAGGGAGAAAGAUUUAUCGGAGGAGGAUCGGCCCGCGUUGGAUUAGGUAGUUGGUGGGGUAAUGGCCUACCAAGCCGACGAUCCAUAGCUGGUUUGAGAGGAUGAUCAGCAACACUGGGACUGAGACACGGCCCAGACACCUACGGGUGGCAG
rnacentral:rRNA from 1 species